GACGAACGCUGGCGGCGUGCCUAAUACAUGCAAGUUGAGCGCUGAAGGUUGGUACUUGUACCGACUGGAUGAGCAGCGAACGGGUGAGUAACGCGUGGGGAAUCUGCCUUUGAGCGGGGGACAACAUUUGGAAACGAAUGCUAAUACCGCAUAAAAACUUUAAACACAAGUUUUAAGUUUGAAAGAUGCAAUUGCAUCACUCAAAGAUGAUCCCGCGUUGUAUUAGCUAGUUGGUGAGGUAAAGGCUCACCAAGGCGAUGAUACAUAGCCGACCUGAGAGGGUGAUCGGCCACAUUGGGACUGAGACACGGCCCAAACUCCUACGGGAGGCAGCAGUAGGGAAUCUUCGGCAAUGGACGAAAGUCUGACAGAGCAACGCCGCGUGAGUGAAGAAGGUGUUCGGAUCGUAAAACUCUGUUGGUAGAGAAGAACGUUGGUGAGAGUGGAAAGCUCAUCAAGUGACGGUAACUACCCAGAAAGGGACGGCUAACUACGUG
rnacentral:rRNA from 1 species